rnacentral:rRNA from 1 species
GAUGAACGCUGGCGGCGUGCUUAACACAUGCAAGUCGAACGGAAGGGCCCUGCGUUUGCUGCGUGCUUGAUUGGCGAACAGGUGAGUAUCACGUGUGUAACCUGUCCUUAACUUUGGGAUAACUUUACGAAACUCGGGCUAAUACCCGGUAUGAUCUCUUGCUGCUUGGUGGGGGUUGGAAAGUUUCGGUGGUUGGGGAUGGACUCGCGGCUUAUGAGCUUGUUUGUGGGGUAGGGGCUUACCAAGGCUGUGACGGGUAGUCCGCCUGAGCGGGUGACCAGGGACAUGGGGACUGAGGUACGCCGCAGACUGGUACGUGAGGCAGAGGGGGGAAAUCUUACAAAAUGGGCGGAAGCCAGAUGCAACAGCCCUGCGUGCGGAAUGACGGCCUUGGAGUUAUGAACAGCUUUAUCAGGUGCGGCGGACUGCGUGACGGUAACGGGUAAGGAAGCACCGGCUAAUUACGUG